rnacentral:rRNA from 1 species
UACGAAGGGAGCUAGCGUUGUUCGGAAUCACUGGGCGUAAAGCGCACGUAGGCGGGUUUGUCAGUCAGGGGUGAAAUCCCGGAGCUCAACUCCGGAACUGCCCUUGAUACAGCAAGCCUUGAGGCCGGAAGAGGUAGGUGGAAUUCCUAGUGUAGAGGUGAAAUUCGUAGAUAUUAGGAAGAACACCAGUGGCGAAGGCGGCCUACUGGUCCGGCACUGACGCUGAGGUGCGAAAGCGUGGGGAGCAAACAGG